rnacentral:lncRNA from 1 species
AGGGAAGGAAACCCCAAUAGGUAGAAUCUAUUCCUAAACCCCCCAAAAGAAAGGAAGACAAUUAACAAAACAGAGAAUCACAAAGGAACGGAACGGAAUUAAAACAAAGGAGAAAAAUAGCUAAAAACACGCAACUAACAAGAAGAACAAAACAAGCAAAUCCAAAUGCAAAUCAUGGAGAAUAAAGAAAUUAAAACUAUGAAUAAGCUUGUGAAUGAACAAAACAUGAAUAAGGAAGAAGAGAGAAAAAAACGUGAAAUAGAACUCGCAAAGAUGAAAAACUUUGGAUGAAAAUGAGAAAGAAAAAGAUUGGGUGUGGGAAUGUGUGCCAAUUGUGGUGAGUUUGGAAAAGAAAGUGGGAAUGGUGAAAGGUUUGAAGAAAAUAGAAAGAGAAAGAGUGAGAACGGAGAUGCAAUUGGAAGAAUUAAAAGCUGGAAAUUUAUUUUAA